CUGCUGACCAGACUGCCCCAGAGGGAAAUUUCCAACUCGAGAGGUUGCUCCUCAUCAUUUGUUCCCGCCAAGCUUUGGUGUGAAGACUGCUUUCCAGAAUAUGGUGACCAACAUAGCUAAGGAAAAGGAGGAACUUCCGCUGAAGAAGCGUAUAUCUGGCACCUGUUCUGUAAAAGGCACCUUGUUAGGCUAAGGCAUCUCCCACGAUGUUCCUGUUGCAAGGUGCCCAGAUGCUGCAGAUGCUGGAGAAUUCCUUGAGGAAGAGCCUUCCUACAUCCUUGAAGGU
rnacentral:lncRNA from 1 species